CCUACGGGGGGCUGCAGUCGAGAAUCUUUCGCAAUGGGCGCAAGCCUGACGAAGCGACGCCGUGUGAGCGAAGAAGGCCUUCGGGUUGUAAAGCUCUUUCGCUAGGGAACAAGAAAGACGGACUAAUAAGUCGUCAAUUUGAUGGUACUUGGUAAAGAAGCACCGGCUAACUCCGUGCCAGCAGCUGCGGUAAUACGGAGGGUGCAAGCAUUGAUCGGAAUUACUGGGCGUAAAGGGCGCGUAGGCGGCUGUAAAAGUUAGAUGUGAAAUUCCGGGGCUCAACCCCGGAGCUGCAUUUAAAACUCUAUAGCUAGAGUUCAGUUAGGGAAAACGGAAUUCCACGUGUAGCGGUGAAAUGCGUAGAUAUGUGGAAGAACACCGGUGGUGAAGACGGUUUUCUGGGCUGGUACUGACGCUGAGGCGCGAAAGCAAGGGGAGCAAACAGGAUUAGAUACCCUUGUAGUC
rnacentral:rRNA from 1 species